UACGUAGGGCGCAAGCGUUGUCCGGAAUCAUUGGGCGUAAAGAGCUCGUAGGCGGCCUGUUGCGUCCGCUGUGAAAUCCCGGGGCUUAACCCCGGGCGUGCAGUGGAUACGGGCUGGCUGGAGGCAGGCAGGGGAGAACGGAAUUCCCGGUGUAGCGGUGAAAUGCGCAGAUAUCGGGAGGAACACCGGUGGCGAAGGCGGUUCUCUGGGCCGUAACUGACGCUGAGGAGCGAAAGCGUGGGGAGCGAACAGG
rnacentral:rRNA from 1 species